rnacentral:rRNA from 1 species
GGUAGGGAUACCCGCUGAACUUAAGCAUAUCAUA